AACGCACAUUGCGCCCUUUGGAUUACCGAAGGGCAUGCCUGUUUGAGUGUCAUUAAAUUUAUCAACCUUGCAAUUUAUUGCUUGGAUUGGAUGUGAGGGUUGCAGGCUUCGGUCUGCUCCUUUUAAAUGCAUUAGUGGGAUCUCUUGUGGACCGUCACUUGGUGUGAUAAUUUAUCUAUACCACUCUGACUUUGAAGCAAGAACCUGCUUAUAACCGUCCUUUACCGGACAAAUGAAUCUUUAAUGUGACCUCAGAUCAGGUAGGACUACCCGCUGAACUUAA
rnacentral:misc_RNA from 1 species